GAAAUGCGAUAAGUAAUGUGAAUUGCAGAAUUCAGUGAAUCAUCGAAUCUUUGAACGCACAUUGCGCCCGCCAGUAUUCUGGGGGGCAUGCCUGUUCGAGCGUCAUUACAACCCUCAGGCCCCCGGGCCUGGCGUUGGGGAUCGGCGGAAGCCCCCUGCGGGCACAACGCCGUCCCCCAAAUACAGUGGCGGUCCCGCCGCAGCUUCCAUUGCGUAGUAGCUAACACCUCGCAACUGGAGAGCGGCGCGGCCACGCCGUAAAACACCCAACUUCUGAAUGUUGACCUCGAAUCAGGUAGGAAUACCCGCUGAACUUAAGC
rnacentral:misc_RNA from 1 species